rnacentral:tRNA from 1 species
GUUAGCUCAGUCGGUAGAGCAGUUGACUUUUAAUCAAUUGGUCGCUGGUUCGAAUCCAGCACGACCCGCCA